UAUACUCCUGAAUGUCAUCUUGUUGUGAUUUUUUUUUUCUGUAGAUUCCAGAGACUCUGUGAGGCCACUAUUACAAGGUGAGACGCUUUGCGUUGAUUGGUGCUGCUGGACCACACUGGAGGUGCGAGUCCGCCGUGUAAUGGUUUAUGCCAUUACAAAGGAGCUGGCCUCUGUACUCAACUGGACAGGGGAAAAAAAAACAAGGACCAGACAAAGCAAAAAAGGGCAUUUAAAGAGACAGCGCUGUGCAGAUGCAUAUUUGAUGGCCUGGCGCAGCAGGUAGGGGCGAACUCUAUGUCUGAGUUGGUCUUUGCUCAAGCAGUCCAGAAAUGGCUCAGAUAUGCUCCAGAUCGUACGGGUGGCGCAGGAAGCACAUCAUCCAUCCCCAUCCCGGAGUAAAUAAUAAAAAGUGACGUGAAACAUAGAAAUGUAAAUAGGAAACUUUGUCUUUUAAUAAAGUAUUUUGCAAAUGA